CCCCUCUCAGGGUCAUACCUGGAGAAUUUCCAGUCCUCUACCAGUCUCGACUAUGGGAGGGAGAGGCAAGCAGAGGUACACCCAUUCUAUUCCUAGCUUGGGCAGUGGCUACCGAAUGGAAGGCAAUCUGCUACAAAG